rnacentral:rRNA from 1 species
UUCGCAAUGCCCGAAAGGGUGAACGAGCGACGCCGCGUGCGGGAUGAAGGGUUUCGGCUUGUAAACCGCUUUUCUUUGGGAAGGAGGUCUGUCUCGUGCAGAUGGGCUCGACGGUACCAGAGGAAUAAGCCUCGGCUAACUCCGUGCCAGCAGCCGCGGUAAGACGGAGGAGGCAAGCGUUGUUCGGAAUUAUUGGGCGUAAAGGGCGCGUAGGCGGAUCGGUAAGUCUGGCGUGAAAGCCCCCGGCUCAACCGGGGAAGCGGAGCCGAAACGACCGAUCUGGAGGGACGUAGGGGGACCUGGAACUUCCGGUGGAGCGGUGAAAUGCGUUGAGAUCGGAAGGAACGCCCGUGGCGAAAGCGAGGUCCUGGACGUCUGCUGACGCUGAGACGCGAAAGCUAGGGGAGCAAACGGGAUUAGAUACCCCGGUAGUCCUAGCCGUAAACGAUGGGCACUAAGUAGAGGGGUUUU